CCUGGCGACAAUAGAGCGUUGGUACCACCUGACCCCAUCCCGAACUCAGAAGUGAAACGACGCAUCGCCGAUGGUAGUGUGGGG
rnacentral:rRNA from 1 species